GGUAAGGUUGCUCAGUGGUAGAGUGCUUGCCUUGCAUGCAUGAGGCCCUGGGUUCGAUUCCUCAGCACCA
rnacentral:tRNA from 1 species